CGCGUAUCAUGCUAAAUUAAAGUAAUUAAUAUUCACUUUUUCAUUAAAAUGAAUUAUUUAAUCUUUGGAACCUGUGGUGUAAAAACAGCUUACGAACAUAUCAAAUUUGGAAAAGUUAAUGGAUACGAGGAUUCUUGUUUCCUUAUUUAUAAUGGUUUGCCUAUUCUAUGUCUGUAAUGCAGCGGGUUAUGGAAAUGAUGGCACUGCUGAUUAUUGUCCCAACACGCCAGAAGAACUAGCCGCGAUUGACUUUAACCAAUAUAGAAUAAUAAGGGAAUUUGGAGAAAGUAAGGAAGCCUUCGCAGAACGGUGCAGGCCACUGAUCUAUUGAAUAAUAAAAUUAUAAUUAUUUAUUUCUUAAAUAAAUGAGUUUUUAUAAUUCAAGACAU